rnacentral:rRNA from 1 species
AAUCUGCCUAGAGGUCGGGGACAACCAUUGGAAACGAUGGCUAAUACCGGAUAUGCCUUACGGGGUGAAAGAUUAAUUGCCUUUAGAAGAGCUCGCGUCUGAUUAGCUAGUUGGUGAGGUAAGAGCUCACCAAGGCAGCGAUCAGUAGCUGGUCUGAGAGGAUGACCAGCCACACUGGGACUGAGACACGGCCCAGACUCCUACGGGAGGCAGCAGUGGGGAAUUUUCCGCAAUGGGCGAAAGCCUGACGGAGCAAGACCGCGUGAGGGAGGAAGGCUCUUGGGUUGUAAACCUCUUUUGUCAGGGAAGAACAAAAUGACGGUACCUGACGAAUCAGCAUCGGCUAACUCCGUGCCAGCAGCCGCGGUAAUACGGAGGAUGCAAGCGUUAUCCGGAAUUAUUGGGCGUAAAGCGUCCGCAGGUGGCUGAUCAAGUCUGCGGUCAAAGACCGGGGCUUAACCCUGGAAAGGCCGUGGAAACUGAUAGAGCUAGAGUACCGUAGGGGUAGAGGGAAUUCCCGGUGUAGCGGUGAAAUGCGUAGAGAUCGGGAAGAACAUCGGUGGCGAAAGCGCUCUACUGGACGGUGACUGACACUCAGGGACGAAAGCUAGGGGAGCGAAUGGGAUUAGAUACCCCAGUAGUCCUAGCCGUAAACGAUGGAUACUAG